rnacentral:rRNA from 1 species
GACGAACGCUGGCGGCGUGCUUAACACAUGCAAGUCGAACGGAAAGGCCCUGCUUUUGUGGGGUGCUCGAGUGGCGAACGGGUGAGUAACACGUGAGUAACCUGCCCUUGACUUUGGGAUAACUUCAGGAAACUGGGGCUAAUACCGGAUAGGAGCUCCUGCUGCAUGGUGGGGGUUGGAAAGUUUCGGCGGUUGGGGAUGGACUCGCGGCUUAUCAGCUUGUUGGUGGGGUAGUGGCUUACCAAGGCUUUGACGGGUAGCCGGCCUGAGAGGGUGACCGGCCACAAUAGGACGGAGAUAAGACACAGACUCCUACGGGAGGCAGCGGUGGAGAAUAUUACACAAUGGGAGGAAGCCUGAUGCAGCAACGCAGCGUGCGGGAAGACGGCCAUCGGGUUGUGAACCGCAUUCGCCUGAGACGAAGCGUGAGUGACGGUAAUGGGUAAAGAAGCACCGGCUAACUACGUG